GACGAACGCUGGCGGCGUGCUUAACACAUGCAAGUCGAACGGAAAGGCCCUGCUUUUGUGGGGUGCUCGAGUGGCGAACGGGUGAGUAACACGUGAGUAACCUGCCCUUGACUUUGGGAUAACUUCAGGAAACUGGGGCUAAUACCGGAUAGGAGCUCCUGCUGCAUGGUGGGGGUUGGAAAGUUUCGGCGGUUGGGGAUGGACUCGCGGCUUAUCAGCUUGUUGGUGGGGUAGUGGCUUACCAAGGCUUUGACGGGUAGCCGGCCUGAGAGGGUGACCGGCCACAUUGGGACUGGGAUACGGCCCAGACUCCUACGGGAGGCAGCAGUGGGGAAUAUUGCACAAUGGGCGGAAGCCUGAUGCAGCAACGCAGCGUGCGGGAUGACGGCCUGCGGGUUGUAAUCCGCUUUCGCCUGUGACGAAGCGUGAGUGACGGUAAUGGGUAAAGAAGCACCGGCUAACUACGUG
rnacentral:rRNA from 1 species